rnacentral:rRNA from 1 species
AGUGAACGCUGGCGGUAGGCCUAACACAUGCAAGUCGAACGGCAGCACAGUAAGAGCUUGCUCUUACGGGUGGCGAGUGGCGGACGGGUGAGGAAUACAUCGGAAUCUACUUUUUCGUGGGGGAUAACGUAGGGAAACUUACGCUAAUACCGCAUACGACCUACGGGUGAAAGCAGGGGAUCUUCGGACCUUGCGCGAUUGAAUGAGCCGAUGUCGGAUUAGCUAGUUGGCGGGGUAAAGGCCCACCAAGGGGACGAUCCGUAGCUGGUCUGAGAGGAUGAUCAGCCACACUGGAACUGAGACACGGUCCAGACUCCUACGGGAGGGAGCAGUGGGGAAUAUUGGGCAAUGGGCGCAAGCCUGAUCCAGCCAUACCGCGUGGGUGAAGAAGGCCUUCGGGUUGUAAAGCCCUUUUGUUGUGAAAGAAAAGCAGCAGGUUAAUACCCCGCUGUUCUGACGGUACCCAAAGAAUAAGCACCGGCUAACUUCGUG